GGGGUAUAAAAUGGCUGAGCUGCUGUCCUUCUGACAGUCUGCUGUAUGCUGUUGCCAGAAGAGGUUGUCUGUGUUGAGCAGGGUGCUCAGCUCUCCACGAGAUGCUAAAUAUCUACUGAGGUCUAUCAUGGAUACUUAACUGCAGUUCUGUGAGUAUCCCAACUUAACCAUGAAGAUGAACUGCAAACUGUAAGUCAUUAAUUUCUCAUUACUCUUGGGCACAUUGAUGUAUUUUGGCUUCCUGGCGAGUUAACCUGUUACCUGAAGGUUGAUCUGAGUAGCAAGGAUGUUUUAUUGGUUCAUGGGUUACUUAGGGAUUUGGUUUAUGUUGGUUUUAAUGAUUUGUUAAAAUGGUUACAGGCUCCAAGUUAUUGUUGUAAGCCUGGGCAAUGGGUUGGUUUCUGAUAUCUGCAGUCUUCUUUCAUUCUACUCUCCUGAGCUCUGCAUCUUCAUCACAUGAGUGUUGCUUUACUGAUGAGGGUGUGGUCUGAGUGAGCAGAUGUGCAUACUGGGAUACAGAGCUGUCUGAAGUCUACAGGUCUGUAGACACGCCCCCUCAGGGGAAACAGAGUGUUUGAGAAACUGUCGUGACGUCAGUUACAUGGACUGGAAUGUUCUUAAAGAUGGAGACAGGGAUUCAGAAGGAGAAACACCAGGGGGAGAUGAGGGGGCUCCUCAUCUCAACGGCCAAAACACAACUUCAGUCUGACAGAGAACCAUGGAACACAUUCAACAGUCCCCUCCAGGCAUCGUGACUCCUCAGGAAGGUUUCAUUUCCAAGGUCUUAUUUGGGGCCAUCCCCAUAUGGAUCCUGCUCCUCAAGAGCCACCCCCCUCCACUGGGUGGUCUUCUGAACAGAUGACCUCCUUCCUGUCCUCAGGCUGACUAAAGCUGCACCGUUUGCAUCUGUGAAGGCCCCUCAUUCAGGAAACCACUUGACCACAAAGACAUGACUUCAGAGACGUUGAAUCAACCUGGGACAUUUUGGAGACGCAAAGCAUAAUCCAUCACCAAUGUGGGACGCCACUGAAGAAUGUUGUGCAUAAUUUACAUCUCUGGAGAAAUUGGUUGUUCUGGUAUGGGUGCCCUGGCAGGAGGCCUGGGGAGGCCUGGGGAAUGAUGGAAUGUUAUUUGGCAUGAGGUUUUUACCCUGCAUGAUUGUUUGGCCUUUUAUGGCUCAGUUGUGUGUGUGUGUGUGUGUGUGUGUGUGUGUGUGUGUGUGUGUGUGUGUGUGUGUGUGUGUGUGUGUGUGUGUGUGUGUGUGUGUGUGUGUGUGUGUGUCAUGAGAUGGAAGAUUUUUGAGGGUUCUACUGUGUGUCUCCCACUCACACCUGGCAUGGGGUUCUACGUGCCUGUCCUGGGUUCUAUGUGUGUGUCCGGCUUGCUUUGACCGUGAUAAUGUUCAUACGGGGGUCUGUGUGAUUGGCUUGGGAUAUUGGAAGGGUCAACUAAAUCAUACCUGAUGGAUGACCACACGUUUACUCAAGGGCCUCCAGUAGACAUGAAGAGCCCUGAGCGACGCUCCGGAGCGAUAUCCAACACGCUGGGCAGGAAGGAGAGUAUCCAACUCAAGUGUAAAAGGAUGCAAGCGGCGUGUUCAGAUCAGUGACUUCAAACUAGGACUACAUCAAUCAGGAUCAAUGGAGGAUGGACACCAAAAGGAAUUCCACAAGGAGAGUCUGACGUUGGAAAGGGACCUAAAUGGAUUUUCAAGAUGACCUUCAGACCUGUAAUGAGACGGCUGUUCCUACCUGGCCGGAUUGAUGAAGAGCCCUGUGGAAACCUUCACCGGGCUUCAAGGUAUAAGGAGGAGAAUGUUUCCAUGGUACUCUGAUGAAGACCGUUGUUGUGUUCCACUGGCUGAGGGGAAGAACCCACACAUCUUUCUCUUGACCGUUCUCCUCUGAGAAUCCUGGUGCCAUCUUGAAGGAUAUUCCAGCUCAUGUAACUGAUGUCACGACAGUUUCUUAAACACUUGGUUUCUCCUGAGGGGCGUGUCUAUAGAACUGAAGACUUCAGACAGCACUGUAUCCCAACAUGCAUCUCUGCUCACUCGGACCACACCCCCAUGAGUAGGAUGCAACACUCUAGUGAUGGAGAUGUAGAGUUUUAUAAGUAACGAGGGAGCAGACUAAGGUGAUUAGAACACAAUGGAAUGUCCAGUCUGUAAAUCUUUAAUCCAUGAAGAUGGUUGGAUAGUUCAGGAAUUGGGCUUUUUAUUAUGGGCAGUCCUUUCACUCGGAUGCCCACGAUGAUGCCCAUGAUUUGCUGUUGGUGAUGAGGUGGUCAGGGUGACGUUGCAGGGCUAUGGUCGGCUCUCUGCUCAACGUUUAGAUUUGCUCUGUAUGGUUUAUACCCGGAAUAAUCUAGAUAAUUGUAAAAUGUAUACACGGUUUUGUAUUGAAUGAUUUUAGUUUUAAAGUUGUUGUGGGACGUACAUGGUAGUUUGGUUCUUCGUAUGGUUUUGAGUGAUAUAACUUGUACACACUGGGUGCAUAAUAAUGUAAAGGUACACUGAAUAGGAAUGACCAACAGCAACAAACGGAUCUCCUCAAGGUAAGUCUGUUGGCUGUGUUUUAAUGAAGACCAUCGCUGGACUUCAGGAUCUUCCUCCGUUCAGCUCAAGGUGAGGCGCUGGUUCUGUUUUUUCUUUGGUUGGUUCCGGCCGGAAUGUUCGGAUUCCAGUCGGACGGUUUGUGCUUCCCGCCGUGGAAGGUUCUGAGUGCGGUCACUAGAUUUAGUCCCAAUGGUUAGCAUAGAACGUUGUAGUCUUGACAACCAUGAGAAACCACCUGGCAGUUUGUUGGACUGGAGUCCCCUGAGGGAAUCUGGCGGAACGUUCUGGAUUGUAUUUGCGUAACCUCGAGCCGUUUCCUAUUCUAUUUCAGUCGGUUUCGAUUGGGAAUUGUUACCCCUAUCUUAAACAACUUAAGUCUGAUAUUAAAUACAUACUCAUGCGUACGUCGUACAAUAUGUUGAUAAAUUCCGAUGGUUGCACUGUACUUUUAACCACGAUGACGUGACGGGACUCUCACUGCGUACAAAACGGCGUUCUACUUGCGGGCCCAUUUUUGACAUCAGGGGAGGCUGAAAAUCAUUUCAAGGUGGAAGCUAAUUUGACAUUUCUUCAACGGAACCCAGCACCUGAAUAUGGCUGAGUAUAUUUGAUUUAAUAUCGAUACUGCUUAGAGUUCUUUGUUACUUCAACUUUUGUACGUUCUAAAUAUCUGCUGUCAUUAAUUGCCACAGAAGUUAAACCCUACCCAAUGGAAUGACGUUAAACAACGACUUUGGUUCAGUUACCAACUUCAUUAUAUCAAAGCUAAAAUAAUGGCAGUCAUUCCCACAUGUUACAAUAGAAGAUACUCUAGUCUAGAACUGUACAAGGUUCAAAAGGUAACAUGUAGUUUGUCCCAAGGUGUCUGCCUCCUCACCCAGAGCAAGACCUCCACCUCCUCACCCAGAGCCAGACCUCCACCUCCUCACCAAGAGACAGACCUCCACCUCCAGUCAGAAGUCCUCCAGAACAGCUGAACUGCGAGGCUGAGAGGCUGGGGACCAGAGGCUUGUGGUGCCAGGGUGGACCGGAGACUGAGGCUGGAGACCAGGGGCCCACAGCACCGGACCAGAGGAAGGUGGGGUGUGUUUCGUCCCCAGGUGAUUUACUGCUGAGAUGGACUGGGUUUGUAACCAGACCAGGAAUCCAUGUCUGGAGGAGCCGUGCUGAAGGAGCUGAGCUGAUGGAGGACCCGUGCUGAAGGAGCUGUUGGAGGAGUCGUGCUGAAGGCCCUGCCUUGUGGAGGCCCUGCCUUGUGGAGGCCCUGCCUGGUGAAGGACGUCUGUCAUGGGACUAGGACUCUGUCUGAGGAGAGCUGCUGGUGGAGCUGAGACGCUGGAGGACGACUAGGAAUCGACCGACAAGGAUUCCUCAACGUGUUCCUGGAGAGGAGGCGAGCUGGUAGGGGAGCCGUGAAUCUGGAGGAUGAACAUCACUCUACAAACAAAGGAUUACCAGAACUCUGGCUGAGGAGAGCUGAUGGAGGAGCCAAGACUCUGGGGGACGACAUCGCUCCACCAACCAGGAUCCUCACCAGGAAUCUGGAGGACUGAUGGAGAAGCCGUACAUCUGGAAGGAAAAUCCUGAGGAUCACCAGCACUCUACCAUCAAGGAUUCCUCAUAAGUUUGCAUUAUCUGGACAUGGUGGACUAGACGCACUUGAGCUGAACCUCACCUGAUCCUGUUUGGUCGGGGGUAGACACACCUGAGCUAAACCAGCCCUGAUCCUGACAUCCUGCUGGUCCCGUCUCCUCAGUUCAUCUGAGCCUUGUCCUCCAGAAGACCUGCUGAGCUCAGCAGUCUGAGGCUGAUGGAUCAAUGACCUCCAGUGGGAGUGAUCUUCUUGACCCCACAUACCAGGAAUCCAUGUCUGGAGGAGCCGUGCUGAAGGAGCUGUUGGAGGAGUCGUGCUGAAGGCCCUGCCUUGUGGAGGCCCUGCCUUGUGGAGGCCCUGCCUUGUGGAGGCCCUGCCUGGUGAAGGACGUCUGUCAUGGGACUAGGACUCUUUCUGAGGAGAGCUGCUGGAGGAGCUGAGACGCUGGAGGACGACUAGGAAUCGACCGACAAGGAUUCCUCAACGUGUUCCUGGAGAGGAGGCGAGCUGGUAGGGGAGCCGUGAAUCUGGAGGAUGAACAUCACUCUACAAACAAAGGAUUACCAGAACUCUGGCUGAGGAGAGCUGAUGGAGGAGCCAAGACUCUGGGGGACGACAUCGCUCCACCAACCAGGAUCCUCACCAGGAAUCUGGAGGACUGAUGGAGAAGCCGUACAUCUGGAAGGAAAAUCCUGAGGAUCACCAGCACUCUACCAUCAAGGAUUCCUCAUAAGUUUGCAUUAUCUGGACAUGGUGGACUAGACGCACUUGAGCUGAACCUCACCUGAUCCUGUUUGGUCGGGGGUAGACACACCUGAGCUAAACCAGCCCUGAUCCUGACAUCCUGCUGGUCCCGUCUCCUCAGUUCAUCUGAGCCUUGUCCUCCAGAAGACCUGCUGAGCUCAGCAGUCUGAGGCUGAUGGAUCAAUGACCUCCAGUGGGAGUGAUCUUCUUGACCCCACAUACCAGGAAUCCAUGUCUGGAGGAGCCGUGCUGAAGGAGCUGAGCUGAUGGAGGACCCGUGCUGAAGGAGCUGUUGGAGGAGUCGUGCUGAAGGCCCUGCCUUGUGGAGGCCCUGCCUUGUGGAGGCCCUGCCUGGUGAAGGACGUCUGUCAUGGGACUAGGACUCUUUCUGAGGAGAGCUGCUGGGGGAGCUGAGACGCUGGAGGACGACUAGGAAUCGACCGACAAGGAUUCCUCAACGUGUUCCUGGAGAGGAGGCGAGCUGGUAGGGGAGCCGUGAAUCUGGAGGAUGAACAUCACUCUACAAACAAAGGAUUACCAGAACUCUGGCUGAGGAGAGCUGAUGGAGGAGCCAAGACUCUGGGGGACGACAUCGCUCCACCAACCAGGAUCCUCACCAGGAAUCUGGAGGACUGAUGGAGAAGCCGUACAUCUGGAAGGAAAAUACUGAGGAUCACCAGCACUCUACCAUCAAGGAUUCCUCAUAAGUUUGCAUUAUCUGGACAUGGUGGACUAGACGCACUUGAGCUGAACCUCACCUGAUCCUGUUUGGUCGGGGGUAGACACACCUGAGCUAAACCAGCCCUGAUCCUGACAUCCUGCUGGUCCCGUCUCCUCAGUUCAUCUGAGCCUUGUCCUCCAGAAGACCUGCUGAGCUCAGCAGUCUGAGGCUGAUGGAUCAAUGACCUCCAGUGGGAGUGAUCUUCUUGACCCCACAUGUAACCGUGUGCUUCCACACGCCUUUCCCUCACGUCUGUCACUAACCUCACUACUUCACUACUCUCUACUGCUUCCUCUUUUCUUCCUUCUCUCUGGUUAAAAUCUUUACACUGAAGGCGCGUCUUCCUGCCCUCAGAGGGUUUAGCGUUAGGGUUGAGAGUCAGGGUUUAGAGUCAGGGACAGAGCUGGUCAGGGAGGACUGCUUUUACACAAACCUCUUCACUUGCUUUCGGAAUGGUGGUGAAAUUUCGAAAAGUUUAAUUUGGAAAAUGUUUUCCUCUGCGUUCCUUUAUAAAAUUGUAUUACAUUUCUGUCAAGUGUUUUUGUUUUCAUAUAUUAAAAUCCCACAUUG